rnacentral:rRNA from 1 species
CCUACGGGCGGCAGCAGUGGGGAAUAUUGGGCAAUGGGCGCAAGCCUGAUCCAGCAACGCCGCGUGAAGGAAGAAGGCUUUCGGGUUGUAAACUUCUUUCAUGAGGGACGAAAGAAAUGACGGUACCUCAUGAAUAAGCCACGGCUAACUACGUGCCAGCAGCCGCGGUAAUACGUAGGUGGCAAGCGUUAUCCGGAUUUACUGGGUGUAAAGGGCGUGUAGGCGGGACUGCAAGUCAGAUGUGAAAAGUAUGGGCUCAACCCAUAACCUGCAUUUGAAACUGUAGUUCUUGAGUGCUGGAGAGGCAGGCGGAAUUCCGAGUGUAGCGGUGAAAUGCGUAGAUAUACGGAGGAACACCAGUGGCGAAGGCGGCCUGCUGGACAGUAACUGACGCUGAGGCGCGAAAGCGUGGGGAGCAAACAGGAUUAGAUACCCCUGUAGUC